UGCUGGGAUAGUUCGGUUGGGAGAAUAUGAGACUCUUAAUCUCAGGGUCUUAUAGUUUUGUGCAGAUUAGGUCAUGUUUUGACAAUACAAAUGCUUUAUGUUUUGUAUCAAACCAGUAUAUAUUUUAUUGAAUGACAUUGUAUACAUUGCAGCAGCCUUUGGCUUUAAGCAAUAAACUUGACUGACUGACUAAUCUCAGGGUCUGGGGUUUGAGCCCCAUGUUGGGCAA